CGAAGAACCGAUUAAAAAUUCAUGCAACCCAGAAGAGCUGACGAGACCAGCACCGCCAGAGGCGCUAGUGUAUUUUACUCACAUUUCGGUGAAUUUAUUUGAAAGUGUUUUGGGAAGUGUAGACUUUUUUGCUUAAACAUUUAAUCCGUGGUAUGAUGCAUACUGGCGCUGGCGGAAUUACCGGAAUUAUUCAAACCGGAAUUUCUGGCGCGCGAACAAGACCACUGCUACAUGGCAUGAACCAUCUACUGUACCAGCUACUCCAAGGAUCGUUCCGAUUUGAAUUUCGGAAGUGUGAAGUGCUAGCCACCGAGCUGUCGAUAAUGCGGGAUCAACAUUUAAACCAUGACGAAUACCUAUACGGUGAAGUUACUGUAGGCCUCGCUGCAGGCGAGCUACCAGGGAAGCUUUACCGUCAACCAGCAAUCCAACCUAGAGGAAUUCAGUGAAAUUUGAUAAAUCAGUCGUGCAACCAAUCAACAUUCUGAAUACAAUCAUCGUUGCAGUGGAUGAACACUUAUCAGAAAUUCAAAAGCCCUUAUAAGCUAUGAGAUUGGAGACGCGUUCCUUGUGUACAGGCAAUAUUGCUAUUAUUUUCUUUUGUCUUCAACUCGUGAAGGCGUGUACCGGCGGACGAGAUCAGUACAGCCACUCGGAACAAGAAUGCCGCUGAUGUAUUCCGGAUAGGAAGAUGACCCGAGUUAUACGUUCUAUCAAAAGGAUUGCUACAAACAAAUGUUGGAACAACCAAAAUAGUUUGACUUUUCAAAAUGGAUAACUUUGUCGACGAAAAAAGGCUUAUCCCUGCUAGUGCUGCUCUAUUGCAGCACCGGAACAAUCCACAAGUAUGCGGAUGCGGCCAAGGCAAGUAUCGUCAUCAGUGAACUGACCUUAGACGAGACUCGCAGCAAACUGAGCAGAAGCGCACGGCUAGCCCAUUAGUAGGCAUCUCCAAACAAGCUGCAGCUAAGAGGACAACUUUAAGCCACCGGUGCCCUCCGAGUCCGACCACCGCUGCCCUAGUUUGAACGGUUCGAAGUGGUGGUGCCAGCGUCAGUGCUCUUCUUACUUUCGAAGGCUCACCAACCAAAGUCUACAUCGCUCUCCAACCAAGGACCAUAACAGCUCGAUGUUGUCUUAGCAGUUUAAUAAACCUAAUCUAUGAACUUAUCGUCAUACCCGUUAUUGACAGUCCUAUUAAACUAGUCGAAUUCAGCACACCGUCCCUACAAGUAGCCUGGUCGAAAUGUUCAAGUGGAUCGACACUGUUUGUGUCAUGUUCUGCAACCGCAAGGUGCAAAGCUAUGAAACUCUAAACGUCUCGCAGUGGUUCCGAAUAAGAUCCUAAAACACUCCAUUGUAAUCCAUAAACAUUGAAAAAGAAAUCUCAAUAGAAAAUAUUUAAGGGCUUUUGACUAGAGUUCUUACGUGAAAGCUUUGCAUAUGGAACUUUUACAAGUUUCUGAAGAAAAAUCAUGUUUUUGAGAAUGCCAGAAUCCUUUUCCGAAUCCCAUAAAAAAUCUAGAUGGAAUUUCUGCAGGAUUCUUUUUGUAUUUCUACUAUAUAGGGGAGGACGGGCAAGAACAACACGCCAUAAUUUGACUUCUAUUAUGACUUUUUCUCUAAAUAACCCCCCACACUGUUAAACUAUAGUCCAACAAAAGACUUGACUAAAAAAAUAUUAUAAAAAUAAAAUGAAUCUGUGAAAGUUAAACCGUCUAAGACGAAUUAAGUACUGUCCAUUUAAUUCCACCAGUUAAUUUUCGUUAUCUUUGCAGAUACGUAUUUCGACCACAACUGUGUGGUCGUCUUCAGUGUCUUGUACUUGACU